AUGGUCGCCGAGAGAUCCCUCCACGCCCCCUCAAGGGAUGGGAAGUGGCGGGCAGAGUACCUCCCCCACGCAUGUUUGGUUUCUGAUCCACCCCUAAUUCCAUUAUACACUGCUACAUCUUAUUUGUCAUCUACUCACAACAUUGCAAGAUGUGGCAUGGCCUAACAGGAUGACAUUACAAAGACUGAGGUGACAGAAUCUAGCCGUGUCAUGGGCAAGCCGGUUGGCAACAUUGUGACAUGACAUCAGUCGUAGUUGCCCACACUUUAAAUUGCAACUGUGUGGUGAUCAGGACAUUCUGUGUUGCUUGGACAACCGAGCUGAGAUGGCGAUGCCACCACCUACUUGUAUAUGUACACGACCUCCGGUGAUGAUUUCUUUUCCAAAAAUGAAGAAGAUUGUCGUUCAACUGAUGACAAAACACCUAGAGUACGUGCAAAAAAUACUACUUCCUCAUUUACAUCAAACUCAUUGAUACGACAAAGGGAAGAUUUUGGGUGGCAAGGUAUAUGAUUAGAUAAUGUGUAAUCUUCUAGAUGCAUUUAUUCUAUGCUUCCAUUGUGUUCUUUAGACAUGCCUCUUUUCGUUAUUUUACAUCAGUUAAAUGAAGUUCAUAUUAUUCUAUUAUCUGAUUGUAGCUUCAAAGUUUGAUUACAGCAGAGUCAUUGGUACGACAUACACAGUUUGUGAAUUUACCUACUACUACGAGUUACGUCAGAUAGCAAUGUUUUGUUGCCCAAAAAAAUAUUGCAUGAAACGCCUGAUGUCUUGUGAAUGUGUAUAGUAGCUACCAGUAGGUGUUCAAACUGUACACCUUCUUUAAAGCAUGAAUAAGGUGCUAGCUUAUGUGUUGCAGUUGCUUUGCAUUGUUCAGAUGCAAUGUGUUUUCGCUCAGCGGGAGCAGUUCUUCUGAUUAUUUAUAAUUUUUAGUUUGCUUCUUAUAAUUCUACGACAAUUUUUGCGACUUGGAAUCUAUAGCAUCCCCUUUUCUCACUGGAAAUGACAUGUAAGAACAAACCAGUUCCAGUUCUGGCAUAGUUCUGAUGGUUGAAGUGUAUGUCAGUAUGAUUUAGUAUAUGCAUGGGAGUACCUGCUAAACGAUGAAGCAUAUUGUGUCGUGUUAGCUCCAUCUAGCUUUACUAUCUGGAAUUAUGUAUCUAGCUUUUGUAUGUUGUAUUCCCUUUCGCCACAUCUACAUACUUGAUGAAGCUUUUUUCUGAUUGCAAAGUAUGUGCAAGUCAGUAGUGAACACUCUAUAUCGUUGUUCCAGAAAAGUAGGUUUCAGCAAUUUCCGCAACAUUUCAUGUCCGUUCCAUGUAGUAGUUUUUGUGGAAUUAUAUUGAUGAUUUCCUUUU